rnacentral:rRNA from 1 species
ACGCUCGACACCUACGGGAGGCAGCAGUCGGGAAUAUUGCGCAAUGGAGGAAACUCUGACGCAGUGACGCCGCGUAUAGGAAGAAGGUUUUCGGAUUGUAAACUAUUGUCGUUAGGGAAGAAAAAAGACAGUACCUAAGGAGGAAGCUCCGGCUAACUACGUGCCAGCAGCCACGGUAAUCUGAGCGGGCUGGCAAGGC